UACGAAGGGGGCUAGCGUUGCUCGGAAUCACUGGGCGUAAAGGGUGCGUAGGCGGGUCUUUAAGUCAGGGGUGAAAUCCUGGAGCUCAACUCCAGAACUGCCUUCGAUACUGGAGAGCUUGAGUCCGGGAGAGGUGAGUGGAACUGCGAGUGUAGAGGUGAAAUUCGUAGAUAUUAGGAAGAACACCAGUGGCGAAGGCGGCUCACUGGCCCGGUACUGACGCUGAGGCGCGAAAGCGUGGGGAGCAAACAGG
rnacentral:rRNA from 1 species